GAUCCUGGCUCAGGAUGAACGCUGGCGGCGUGCAUAACACAUUCAAGUCGAACGAAGGACAGAGCUUGCUCUGUUACUAGUGGCGGACGGGUGAGUAACGCGUGAGUAAUCUGCCUCUGUGUGCGGGAUAACAGCUGGAAACGGCUGCUAAUACCGCAUGAUGCAUCGAGACCGCAUGGUCAUGAUGCCAAAGAUUUAUUGCACAGAGAUGAACUUGCGUCCGAUUAGAUAGUUGGCGGGGUAAAGGCCCACCAAGUCUACGAUCGGUAGCCGGACUGAGAGGUUGAACGGCCACAUUGGAACUGAGAUACGGUCCAGACUCCUACGGGAGGCAGCAGUGGGGAAUUUUGGGCAAUGGGCGAAAGCCUGACCCAGCGACGCCGCGUGAAGGAAGAAGAUCUUCGGAUUGUAAACUUCUGUCAACAGGGAAGAAACAAAUGACGGUACCUGUGGAGGAAGCCACGGCUAACUACGUGCCAGCAGCGGC
rnacentral:rRNA from 1 species